rnacentral:rRNA from 1 species
GUCUACGGCCAUACCACCCUGAACGCACCCGAUCUCGUCUGAUCUCGGAAGCUAAGCAGGGUCGGGCCUGGUUAGUACUUGGAUGGGAGGAAUUUUUUUCUAUAUC